rnacentral:rRNA from 1 species
AACGUAGGACGCGAACGUUAUCCGGAGUUACUGGGCGUAAAGCGCGAGUAGGCGGUUGAAUAAGUUACCUAUGAAAGCUCUCGGCUAAACUGAGAGAGGAUAGGUGAUACUGUUUGACUAGAGUGAGGAAGAGGAAAGUAGAAUUCCGGGUGUAGUGGUGAAAUGCGUAGAUAUCCGGAGGAAUACCAGUGGCGAAGGCGGCUUUCUGGUUCUCAACUGACGCUGAGACGCGAAAGCGUGGGUAGCGAACGGG